UACGUAGGGCGCAAGCGUUAUCCGGAAUUAUUGGGCGUAAAGAGCUCGUAGGCGGUUUGUCGCGUCUGCCGUGAAAGUCCGGGGCUCAACUCCGGAUCUGCGGUGGGUACGGGCGGACUUGAGUGUUGCAGGGGAGACUGGAAUUCCUGGUGUAGCGGUGAAAUGCGCAGAUAUCAGGAGGAACACCGGUGGCGAAGGCGGGUCUCUGGGCAACUACUGACGCUGAGGAGCGAAAGCGUGGGGAGCGAACAGG
rnacentral:rRNA from 1 species